AAGAAAAAAAGAAGAAAGAAAAAA
rnacentral:sRNA from 1 species